AAAGGGAGACCUAAUUCAGGUAAGAGACGAAAAAAAAGUAGUCGCUACCAAGAAUCAAUCCCAAAAGGUCGGAGCGAGGCGAAAUUGGCUUUCAAACUAGGUUCUGGGUUCAAACAAGACCUGAAUCAGGAACAAGGGCUAUUAGCUCAGGUGGUUAGAGCGCACCCCUGAUAAGGGUGAGGUCCCUGGUUCGAGUCCAGGAUGGCCCACCUGCACAGGUGGCAAAAACAAGAGAAGCGAGGAAUCAGCACCUUAUCUUACUUAUAUAGUAAGAGAGAAUGCUGGCUCUGAGUUCAGAGUCCAGAGGAACCUUGAAAACUGCAUAGAGCUAGGUGAAAAAGCCAAAAAAGAAGACCGUCAG
rnacentral:tRNA from 1 species